GACGAACGCUGGCGGCGUGCUUAACACAUGCCAGUCGAACGGAAAGGCCCUGCUUUUGUGGGGUGCUCGAGUGGCGAACGGGUGAGUAACACGUGGGUAACCUGCCCUUGACUUUGGGAUAACUUCAGGAAACUGGGGCUAAUACCGGAUAGGAGCUCCUGCUGCAUGGUGGGGGUUGGAAAGUUUCGGCGGUUGGGGAUGGACUCGCGGCUUAUCAGCUUGUUGGUGGGGUAGUGGCUUACCAAGGCUUUGACGGGUAGCCGGCCUGAGAGGGUGACCGGCCACAUUGGGACUGAGAUACGGCCCAGACUCCUACGGGAGGCAGCAGUGGGGAAUAUUGCACAAUGGGCGGAAGCCUGAUGCAGCAACGCCGCGUGCGGGAUGACGGCCUUCGGGUUGUAAACCGCUUUCGCCUGUGACGAAGCGUGAGUGACGGUAAUAGGUAAAGAAGCACCGGCUAACUACGUG
rnacentral:rRNA from 1 species